UGGAUAUCAAAUAUGGAUAUCAAGUUUUUCAGUAGAUACAUUUUUAUAGCAAAGGUAAAGAAAAAAAGAAUCUACCCGAAGGCGCCUUUCUUUUACUCCAAUUACACGAUGAGUUAAUAUAUGAGGUUUCUGGUGCAGAAAUUGAAAACGUUGUCAAAGUAAUCAAACAACAAAUGGAAAAUGCUAUGAAACUUUCAGUUCUACUUUCAGUGAAAAUGAAGAUGGGUAAAAGUUGGGGUAGUCUGGAAUAGAUUAUUUGUUGUAUUAAUUGUUAAAUUAAACUUUCAGUAAUGAUUAA